AUUUUCCGGUUGAUCCUGCCGGAGGCUACCGCAAUAGGGAUUCGACUAAGCCAUGCGAGUCAAGGUGUCUUCCGAGUAAGCGAACGGCUCAGUAACACGUAGGUAACCUAACCUCAGGACUGAGAUAACCCCGGGAAACUGGGGCUAAUAUUAUCUCAGAUAAGAAAGUACUGGAAUGUUCUUUUAUCCAAAGCUUUUGCGCCUGAGGAUGGGCCUGCGUCCGAUUAGGUUGUUGGUGGGGUAAUGGCCCACCAAGCCUACGAUCGGUACGGGCAGUGAGAGCUGAAGCCCGGAGUUGGGGACUGAGACAAGGCCCCAGGCCCUACGGGGCGCAGCAGGCGCGAAACCUCUGCAAUGCGGGAAACCGUGACAGGGGGAUCCCAAGUGCUCAUGCAUUGCAUGGGCUGUUCCUUGGUCUAAGUAACCAGAGGAGUAAGGGCUGGGCAAGACCGGUGCCAGCCGCCGCGGUAAUACCGGCAGCUCCAGUGCUAGCCGCGAUUAUUGGGCCUAAAGCGUUCGUAGCCGGAUAAGUAAGUCUUUGGUUAAAUCCUGCAACUUAACUGUGGGAAAUCUAGGGAUACUGCUUGUCUUGAGACCGGGAGAGGUUAGAGGUACUCCUAGGGUAGGGGUGAAAUCCUGUAAUCCUAGGGGGACCACCUGUGGCGAAGGCGUCUAACUGGAACGGGUCUGACGGUGAGGGACGAAACCUAGGGGAGCGAGCCGGAUUAGAUACCCGGGUAGUCCUAGGCGUAAAUGAUGCUUUGGUAAAGAGUGGGGGCAUCUACGAGAUGGCCCUGUGCUGUAGGGUAGCCGUUAAACUCGCCGCCUGGGGAGUACGGUCGCAAACAUAAACUUAAAGGAAUUGGCGGGGGAGCACCACAAGACUGAGCUGCGGUUCAAUUGGAUUCAACGCCGGAAAU
rnacentral:rRNA from 1 species